CUUGGAUGUUUUGAGUAGCUGCGUUUAAGUUUAAUUAAAGGAUAGACGACUGGGUCGAUGUUUAGUUCAUAUCUGGACAUGGUUUGCGUGUUUCUGUAGAUUUUGGGACAAUGGUAGCUCUGGUUGGCCAGAGUUUAACGAAUUCACGCAGGAUGUAAAUUUGGGAAAAUUGGAAACCAGUUGUGACCUGGGCUGGUGUCGGUGUCAGGUCCUGAUUAUGACACUUCAGUGGAUACUGUCAAGUUGUUUUUCGGAUGCUUCUUUGUUGUAUACGUUCUUUGCGGGGAUGUUUCUCAUCAACUCAUGCUCUAUUACAAAUGUACUGAAUUUUGAAGGAAGUUGCUAGAUGGGAAAGUUGUAGGAGCUCUUUGGAAAGAGAUUCUUUUGGAAAGUCAUCUGUACUUGGAACGUCUGGAAUUACUGUUGUACAAGGCAUAAAGGCUUUUGGUUCAUUCGUCCCGGAUAAGAUAACUAUGUCGUGGAAACUGAUAAUGAUAGGUAUGCUUGCUGAUAGUUUACGUGAAAUUAAUUAAGAGCUACAAGCUUGCGAUGUGGCCUUUUACAUCAUGCACUGGAGGUUAAGGUAAAAGGGACUUGAAUGAAGACGGUUUAGAUAAUACUUACUUUUUUGGGAGGAAUUAGAAGGUACAAUGAAGUAAGGGGACACUUUUGAGCAGCCAAAAGGAUGAGCCAGUUAUCACCUGAACUCCUAAACCUGGGAGUUAAAUUAAAGGUAAAAAAUCUACAUACAACAGAAUUUACAGAACGAAUGACAGGCAGCUGACAGCAGAUUGUUCAAGGCAUAUGCAAUUUGCAGAGUAUGAAAGAUACGGCAACUGGAUUGGAUCAAUGAAAAUUUUGUGGUAUGCUGGUUAUAUCUUGUAUGUAUAGUAUAAUUGAGCUAUAUUGAAGCAUGUUUAAAGCAGGUCCAACAUUGUUAUUAUGUUGAUCCUUCUUCUAGAUGCAUGUGUACACUCAAGUGGGAAAAAAUUGUGCGAGCUUCUGAUGGCAACCUGCUUCACUUGUAUCUAUUGUAAUGACAUAAAUCAUGGCAUAGUUGUCAAUGACUAGCUCUUGUGAUGUCUGUGAGAAGGUUUAAUGUUUUUGAAUCUUCAGACUAGAAUUAUUAUUAUUAUUAUUAUUAUUUUUGGCUGCCUCUGUGGAGUAGUUGGGAAUUUUCGUGAUUGUUGUACGUGGAAUUUCCACGUAUCAUGUUCACUUUUCUUGUGAAAGGGCAAAAUCUGAACCGUGUAGCGUGUCUGCAUUGAGGUUAAGGCUUGCUCUUUGGGACGGAUAAAUGCAGCUAGUUUGGUUUAGAUUCUGGAUUAAUGACUUAAACAGAAGUAGUCUGGUGGACAUGGUCCUGUGCUUAUCAUUCUUCUCCUAGUCUCUGGGAUUUCAUGCUGUGUAAUUUGUAUCUUCUGGCUUCAGCUGGGAUUUUGGAUCAUUCUUGCCUAGUCUUUGUGGUGGUGUACUUUGUUUCUUUAGCUGGGAUUAUGAUGACAACAUAACCUCGUAAUGCGAGCUCUUUUAUGCAGGCGGGCACUUGUUUGCUGUAAUUGCUAUUGGAUUCUUCAGUCAUGCACAUGCACUUAGGUAUCCAAAACAUGAUCUUGUGUAGUAACAUGGGGCAUGCGGUAGAUUAAGUCUUUCUGCAUGAUUGAGCACAUUUACUAAGGUAAAGCUUAAAGGCCAGUUUAAGUAAUCGCAGCAGUUUUCUCUGGCAAAUUGCCAUCUGCUAGGUCGUAGGUACACAACAUUCAAAAUUAUUUUUUUCUCCAGUUUCUGCUAAUUUCUUGCAGCUAACGAGAGCCGUCCUAGUUAUUCUUUUCUUGGUUUCGUCUCCAAAACCACACGGGGCCAUGCUUUUUCUCUCCCCAACCUGGUAAUGAUCCAUUGCAAUGUUAAAUUCACAUCUGAAAAUGUACUAGCUCGAUUAUCAUGAACGACUGUCUUGUCUAGAUGAUGCUCUUUUCUGCGCGUCCAAUUCGAAGGAAGGAAGGAAGAUUCAUGCGACAGCCAACGGGCAUUGUCUGUGGUUGUUGGACGUGUUGCACGUUUGACGCGAGGUUGGUUUACUUUCCGCGAAUACUGCUGCCAUUGAAGAUCAGUCGGCAGUCUGACUUUGAUUUUUUUUUUUUUUUUUUACUAACGACUGCUAAUCCUCCCAUGGAGGGAAAACCAUCCAACUAUACUAAUUGUUGUUUGUGACCCAAUCUCGUGUGUGUCAAUUUCUUGAUUGUCAAAAGGGAUGGAACAUAAAGACUAGGACUCAAUUCCUGUUUAACACCCCCUAUGGCUUGACAGGAGGAGGGAAAAAAGCAGUGGAGGAGGCAGGCAUACAUGGUACAGGACUAAUGACUUGUCCACUGACUUUGGGUAUUGACUCUCAAGUCUCACCCAUUGGAGGCAAGAAAGCAGCAUGAGUUGCUUGGUCCAUCAAAUUGCCUGGUGGGGUGGAAAGUGGAAAGUGGGAAGUGGGAUUUGUGUGAGUCCUACUACUUAAUAGUGCAUAAUCAUUUUGUGCAUUGUAUGGCUAUAUCCCAUUACCUAGUUGCACAAAUUGAGAUGGUAUGCAAGCCAAGCCAACUGGUGUGUCACUUAAAUGAUACCAGAUUUGGUUAUUGAAUAAAAUUUUCAUAUUGGGUUUUGAACUUUUGAUACAAAUAAAAUUCCAAAUUCACGUAUAAAUGAGUUAAGCUACUUGAGUUUGAAUUAAAGUUGGCUUGAUAAAAUAAAAAUCGGUUGGAGUUCAACGAGAAGGAUGCUAAGGUGCUCGGCUCCGGAGUAGAAGUCCAAUUCUUGAGACAGCUUACAAUUUUAUUUUAUUUUUUAAAAAAAAGAAGAGAAGAGAGAGAGAGAGAGAGAGAGAGAGAGAGAGAGAGAGAGAGAAAUUGUUCUGGAGGAAGAGAGUAUAAAGAGACUGUAUAAGGAACUAACAGAUAUAUAGACUCAAUAAAUCAAAUGAGUGUUCUAGUAUCUCUUUUAAAUUUUUUUCAUUGUAGGUGAGAUUCGAACCCCUGACUUGCAGUUCAAAGAGAGAUUUAUUCACUUUUUUAUGGCCACUGAUGAUUUACAUCACACUUAAUUUCUCUUUUUAUGAAAAAAUUGGUUGGACAUAUAUCUACUUAUCUAAGACUAAGAGCUGCUUCUAGCAUUGAACAUCAAAGACGAAAUUUUUCAUCUAUGAUUGAACACUCCAAAUCAUUAAAAUUUGAUAGGGUAGGAGAAUCUUGCCUCCCACCAAUUGAUACAUUAAGGUACUAUGGUUAAAAAAUUUAGACGGGUGUAUAAUGUAUCCAUCUGGUCCAAUAUAAAUUAUAUAAUUAUCGUUUUGAAAAAAAAAAAAAAGAACACCCAAUAGAAAGAGAAAGAGAAAAAGAAAAAGAAAAAUGAAAAAAUGUAAGGAGGAGAAGAAAACAAAUUACUCUUUUUAACUUUUUGUUAGCGACUGACUAAUGAACUGCCCAUCCAUCCAAAUGUUCUUGCACAAACGUCACCUAAGCAUAAGCUUUUUUUUUUUUUUUGGGAGAAAAACCUGAGCCCUAAUUCGAAACUUGUACUAUAUGCUAAAAAAGUUGCACUAAAAAUGUUAAAAUGCCGGUUGAGAAAUUAAUGUCUCGAGAAACAGGAGAGCAAUGGCAAUCACGGAAUCCCAGUGUCCCAUUCCUUAUUUGGUGUUAAAUUACUUCCUGAAUCAAUUUUUAGUUUUUACUUCUUCCUCUUCCACAGGGAGCGAUUCCCAGGCAAAUCAUUAAAAAGCGAAAAUCCCAGGUUAGAGUUUGAUCAUUCCCGCUGUUUACUACUUUUCUUUGCUGCAAACCUUUCAUAUGGAACUUCAAUGGCUGUAAAGCUUGCAUCUUUAGCAUUUUUAAAGAGAAUUCCCAAAAGGGUCAAUUUAAAUGCCUCUUUUUCUUCACUUUCAUGUGCAAAUGUUGUUCAUAUCAAUUCAGAAACUGAUCAUACUCCGUCAAAAUCUGCUGAUUUUGAGUCAAAGAUCCAAUUUUUAAAGAAUAAGCUUCAUCCAGAUAUCUUGGUCCAUGUCUUGGAUUCCACAACUGAUGUAAAUUCUUCGUUGAAAUUGUUCAAAUGGGCUUCACUUCAGAAAACGUUUAAGCAUAAUGUGGAUACUUAUUAUUUGAUGAUUUUGAAGUUGGGUUUGGCUGGAAAUAUUGAGGAAAUGGAGGGAUUUUGUAAUGAGAUGUUAAAGGAGAAAUGUCCUGGUUUUGAUGAAGCUUUCUUGGGAUUGAUUGAAUGUUUUGUUAGAAAUGAUAGGCUUGACGAGGCUUUGAGGGUUCUUUCUUGUAUGAAUUCAAGAAGUUUUAAGCCUUCAGUAAGUGUUUUUAAUAUAGUAAUGGGUGCACUUUUGGUGGCAAAGAGGGAUUUCAAGGAUGUAUUAUUUGUGUAUAAAGAAAUGGUGAAAGUAGGAAUUGUUCCCAACGUGGAGACUUUGAAUUACUUGUUGGAAGCGCUGUUAGAGGAUGAUAGGGUGGGUACAGCUUUGGAACAAUAUAGAAGGAUGAAUAAGAAAGGGUGUAGUCCUAAUAGUAGGACCUUCGAGGUUCUCAUUAGUGGACUUAUUGCCAGGGAAAGGAUCGAUGAAUCUUUGCUUCUUUUAGAUGAAAUUUUUGAACUUAGGUGUGAGGUGGAUUUGAGCUUUUACACUCGGAUAGUACCGCUGCUUUGCCAGAUUAAUAAAUGUGAGGCAGGGAUGAUGUUACUUGUGAAGAUGAAAGCUUCAAAAAUUUCUCCAGAUUCUUCAACUUAUGGAGCUAUGAUAAUAUGUUUAUGCCAGAAUCUUUAUGUGGAUGAAGCUGUCAACCUUUUUGAAGAGAUGGUGGGCAGCGGAAUAACUCCAGAGGAUGAUCUCUAUGUGGAUAUUGUGAAGGGAUUUUGUACAUUAUGUAAAUUUAGUGAAGCAAAGAAGUUUUUAGUAGAUAAUGAUGUUGAUAUAACUUGUCCUUACAAUGCACUUCUUGGAGCUUAUUGCAGUUAUGGUAAUCUUGCGGCAGCAAAAGAUCUGUUUGAUGAUAUGUUUGAGAGGAGUUUAACUGAUAGCUUGUCUUGGAAUUUCUAUAUUCGGUGCCUAUGUGAGAUUGGCGAUAUCAAGAAAGCCUUGGAAGUUCUUUGUAGAAUGAUUGUUUUUUCAUUUCUUCCUGACUCUAUCACUUACUCCGCUCUUAUCAUUGGCAGAUGCAAGCAGGAUGAACUUGAUGAUGCUAUACUGUUGUUCAAUCAGGUCCAGCAGAAGUGUGAUGUUUUGGAUUCUGUAUCCUAUGCUGAACUUGUUAGAUGCCUUUCUUAUAAUGAAAAGAUUCAAGAGGCUGCUGAAGUUUAUUGUUAUAUGUCAGGAAAGCAAGUAGCUUUGCAGUCAACCUCUUUUGAUUUGUUCAUUAAGGGGCUUUGUGCAAUAAGAGAAGUCGAGAGUGCAAUCAGGUUUCUAUCUCUUGCUCAUUGUUCUGGUACAUCGUACUCGUCUGUAGCUUACUACAGCAUAAUGCGAGUUUUAUCCAAGUUAGAAAAGGCAGAUGACCUUUUAGUGGUAUUAUCACGAAUGAUUGUAGAUGGUUGUCCUGUUGAGGAAGAAACUUAUUUUAUCCUCAUAGAAAGUAUGAGUCUAGCUGAUAAUCCAGACCAUUGUGCUCGGUUUUUCAAUGUGAUGCUCAGCAAGGGUUUAUUACCCAACUCCGAAACACUAACUACUGCACUGUCUUGUUUAGACAAGCAUUCUCAAAUGCACAUGAUUUUGAGUGCUAUGGAUCAGCUUAUCCCUUGUUCUAAUAUUCUUGGUUCCAGUACCUAUAACAUGCUCAUCAGGGGCCUUUUGAAAGAAGGAUAUAGGAGUGCAGCUGGUCGCUUGCUAGAUGUAAUGUUGGGGAAGGGUUGGAUUCCUAGUACUGAAACUCAUCAAUUACUGGUUGGUUCUGUUGUAAAAGAGGAAUCAGAAGUAAGAGCAUAUAUGAGCGAAAAUUUUGGUCCGCAGGAUGAGGUUAGCAGCAUACUUGAAAAUGCAUUGGCUCAAACAUAACCUGAUUCCAUAUAUCAACACUAUCAUUGGCCGUUGUUGAAUGUCUCCAUUAAGUGCGAUUGUGAAAGCCUCUGUAAGACUUGUAGAUUUCAUCUCAGACUUCAGUGCUAUAAAAGGUAUGCUAUGUUCACACAGCACAUAACUUUGCUUCACGUGGCAUGGGUACUUAACAAAUUGUUCUUCUGACAGUCUUACAUGCACUUAAUAUGUUGGUACAUACUCCACCAAAUUUUAAAAAAUUUUUUUUUUUUGUGUUUUUAAUUUCUUUAGUGGUAGGGCUGGUGUCGGUGUCAGGUCCUGAUUAUGACACUUCAGUGGAUACUGUCAAGUUGUUUUUCGGAUGCUUCUUUGUUGUAUACGUUCUUUGCGGGGAUGUUUCUCAUCAACUCAUGCUCUAUUACAAAUGUACUGAAUUUUGAAGGAAGUUGCUAGAUGGGAAAGUUGUAGGAGCUCUUUGGAAAGAGAUUCUUUUGGAAAGUCAUCUGUACUUGGAACGUCUGGAAUUACUGUUGUACAAGGCAUAAAGGCUUUUGGUUCAUUCGUCCCGGAUAAGAUAAUUAUGUCGUGGAAACUGAUAAUGAUAGGUAUGCUUGCUGAUAGUUUACGUGAAAUUAAUUAAGAGCUACAAGCUUGCGAUGUGGCCUUUUACAUCAUGCACUGGAGGUUAAGGUAAAAGGGACUUGAAUGAAGACGGUUUAGAUAAUACUUACUUUUUUGGGAGGAAUUAGAAGGUACAAUGAAGUAAGGGGACACUUUUGAGCAGCCAAAAGGAUGAGCCAGUUAUCACCUGAACUCCUAAACCUGGGAGUUAAAUUAAAGGUAAAAAAUCUACAUACAACAGAAUUUACAGAACGAAUGACAGGCAGCUGACAGCAGAUUGUUCAAGGCAUAUGCAAUUUGCAGAGUAUGAAAGAUACGGCAACUGGAUUGGAUCAAUGAAAAUUUUGUGGUAUGCUGGUUAUAUCUUGUAUGUAUAGUAUAAUUGAGCUAUAUUGAAGCAUGUUUAAAGCAGGUCCAACAUUGUUAUUAUGU
rnacentral:lncRNA from 1 species